ACCGAUUCCUGGAAUGCCAGGAUU
rnacentral:siRNA from 1 species